rnacentral:misc_RNA from 1 species
GAGAACAUCGCCCUCGCGGGUGACUCUCCAACCCUAUGUUAUUGUACCUUUGUUGCUUUGGCGAGCCGGUGGCCGAAGCGGCUCGCGCUGGUGAGUGCUCGCCAGAGGACCCCAAACUCUGAAUUAUUAGUGUCGUCUGAGUACUAUAUAAUAGUUAAAACUUUCAACAACGGAUCUCUUGGUUCU